CUUGCCAUAAAAAUCCUAAAUACCUUUGGCCAUGGUCGUGGGUGAGAUUCGGUGCCCAGAGCCACCGGGGCCUCAGCUCACCGCCCACUGCCUCGUGUGCGAGGGUGAAACCCAGGCCCUGACAGUC
rnacentral:snoRNA from 1 species